AUGAACGCUGGCGGCGUGCCUAAUACAUGCAAGUCGAGCGGACGGACGAGAAGCUUGCUUCUCUGAUGUUAGCGGCGGACGGGUGAGUAACACGUGGAUAACCUACCUAUAAGACUGGGAUAACUUCGGGAAACCGGAGCUAAUACCGGAUGAUAUUUUGAACCGCAUGGUUCAAAAGUGAAAGACGGUCUUGCUGUCACUUAUAGAUGGAUCCGCGCUGCAUUAGCUAGUUGGUAACGUAACGGCUUACCAAGGCAACGAUGCAUAGCCGACCUGAGAGGGUGAUCGGCCACACUGGAACUGAGACACGGUCCAGACUCCUACGGGAGGCCGCAGUAGGGAAUCUUCCGCAAUGGGCGAGAGCCUGACGGAGCAACGCCGCGUGAGUGAUGAAGGUCUUCGGAUCGUAAAACUCUGUUAUUAGGGAAGAACAUAUGUGUAAGUAACUGUGCACAUCUUGACGGUACCUAAACAGAAAGCCACGGCUAACUACGUG
rnacentral:rRNA from 1 species